rnacentral:rRNA from 1 species
UACGUAGGGUGCAAGCGUUAAUCGGAAUUACUGGGCGUAAAGCGUGCGCAGGCGGUUAUAUAAGACAGUUGUGAAAUCCCCGGGCUCAACCUGGGAACUGCAUCUGUGACUGUAUAGCUAGAGUACGGUAGAGGGGGAUGGAAUUCCGCGUGUAGCAGUGAAAUGCGUAGAUAUGCGGAGGAAUACCGAUGGCGAAGGCAGCCCCCUGGGUCGAUACUGACGCUCAUGCACGAAAGCGUGGGGAGCAAACAGG